rnacentral:lncRNA from 1 species
GUGGGUAAGUGCCACAACUUGCUGGCGGUGAUGGAAGUCCGUGAUGAAAUAGGAGGUGAUGGCAUAAACUCAUCAGUCACCUCAACACUCCUCGGUAUAUUCUUAAAGUUCUGAGUAUAGGUAAAAAUUGGUGAUGAAUUUUCUAUUUGUGAAUUUCCAGGUUUUCGGUGUGAUUCAAAAGAUGGCUGCUCAAUGUCAAGCUUUCCAUAGCUCUAAGGCGGCAACAGGUGAAGUUGAAAGGAUCGAGAAGUAUGUGCAUUUGUGAGUUCAUCCGUAAUUAUAAGCCUAGAUCCAUUGCAGGGGCGGUCCAAAAAGGAUUGGCGGCCUAAAACCAAUUUUUAAUGUGGGACCCAUCAGAAAGAAGAAAAAAAAUUCAUCUAUAUUUUUAAUGGAAGUCUAUUUUUCUA